GAACGCACCUUGCGCUCCUUGGUAUUCCGAGGAGCAUGCCUGUUUGAGUGUCAUUAAAUUCUCAACCUUUAUCAACUUUUGUUGAUAAUGGCUUGGAUAUGGGGGUUUAUUUUGCUGGCUUCUUUACAGAUGGUCAGCUCCCCUUAAAUGCAUUAGCCGGUGCCCCGCGUGGACUGUCUAUUGGUGUGAUAAUUAUCUACGCCGUGGACAUCUGCAAUCAUAUGGGUUUGCACUGCUUCCAACUGUCUGUUGAAUCAGACAAUACAUGACAAUUUGACCUCAAAUCGGGUGAGACUACCCGCUGAACUUA
rnacentral:misc_RNA from 1 species